rnacentral:rRNA from 1 species
AGAACGAACGCUGGCGGCAUGCCUAACACAUGCAAGUCGAACGAAGGCUUCGGCCUUAGUGGCGCACGGGUGCGUAACGCGUGGGAACCUGCCCCUCGGUUCGGAAUAACACAGAGAAAUUUGUGCUAAUACCGGAUGAUGACUUCGGUCCAAAGAUUUAUCGCCGAGGGAUGGGCCCGCGUAGGAUUAGCUUGUUGGUGGGGUAAUGGCCUACCAAGGCGACGAUCCUUAGCUGGUCUGAGAGGAUGAUCAGCCACACUGGGACUGAGACACGGCCCAGACUCCUACGGGAGGCAGCAGUGGGGAAUAUGGACAAUGGGCGAAAGCCUGAUCCAGCAAUGCCGCGUGAGUGAUGAAGGCCUUAGGUUGUAAAGCUCUUUCACCAGGGAUGAUAUAGACAGUACCUAGGAGAAUAAGCUACCGGCUAACCUACCGUGCCAGCAGCCGACGGU